rnacentral:rRNA from 1 species
AGAGUUUGAUCCUGGCUCAGGAUGAACGCUAGCUACAGGCUUAACACAUGCAAGUCGAGGGGCAGCAUGGUCUUAGCUUGCUAAGGCCGAUGGCGACCGGCGCACGGGUGAGUAACACGUAUCCAACCUGCCGUCUACUCUUGGACAGCCUUCUGAAAGGAAGAUUAAUACAAGAUGGCAUCAUGAGUCCGCAUGUUCACAUGAUUAAAGGUAUUCCGGUAGACGAUGGGGAUGCGUUCCAUUAGAUAGUAGGCGGGGUAACGGCCCACCUAGUCUUCGAUGGAUAGGGGUUCUGAGAGGAAGGUCCCCCACAUUGGAACUGAGACACGGUCCAAACUCCUACGGGAGGCAGCAGUGAGGAAUAUUGGUCAAUGGGCGAGAGCCUGAACCAGCCAAGUAGCGUGAAGGAUGACUGCCCUAUGGGUUGUAAACUUCUUUUAUAAAGGAAUAAAGUCGGGUAUGCAUACCCGUUUGCAUGUACUUUAUGAAUAAGGAUCGGCUAACUCCGUGCCAGCAGCCGCGGUAAUACGGAGGAUCCGAGCGUUAUCCGGAUUUAUUGGGUUUAAAGGGAGCGUAGAUGGAUGUUUAAGUCAGUUGUGAAAGUUUGCGGCUCAACCGUAAAAUUGCAGUUGAUACUGGAUAUCUUGAGUGCAGUUGAGGCAGGCGGAAUUCGUGGUGUAGCGGUGAAAUGCUUAGAUAUCACGAAGAACUCCGAUUGCGAAGGCAGCCUGCUAAGCUGCAACUGACAUUGAGGCUCGAAAGUGUGGGUAUCAAACAGGAUUAGAUACCCUGGUAGUCCACACGGUAAACGAUGAAUACUCGCUGUUUGCGAUAUACAGCAAGCGGCCAAGCGAAAGCGUUAAGUAUUCCACCUGGGGAGUACGCCGGCAACGGUGAAACUCAAAGGAAUUGACGGGGGCCCGCACAAGCGGAGGAACAUGUGGUUUAAUUCGAUGAUACGCGAGGAACCUUACCCGGGCUUAAAUUGCAGAUGAAUUACGGUGAAAGCCGUAAGCCGCAAGGCAUCUGUGAAGGUGCUGCAUGGUUGUCGUCAGCUCGUGCCGUGAGGUGUCGGCUUAAGUGCCAUAACGAGCGCAACCCUUGUUGUCAGUUACUAACAGGUUCUGCUGAGGACUCUGACAAGACUGCCGUCGUAAGAUGUGAGGAAGGUGGGGAUGACGUCAAAUCAGCACGGCCCUUACGUCCGGGGCUACACACGUGUUACAAUGGGGGGUACAGAGGGCCGCUACCACGCGAGUGGAUGCCAAUCCCCAAAACCUCUCUCAGUUCGGACUGGAGUCUGCAACCCGACUCCACGAAGCUGGAUUCGCUAGUAAUCGCGCAUCAGCCACGGCGCGGUGAAUACGUUCCCGGGCCUUGUACACACCGCCCGUCAAGCCAUGGGAGCCGGGGGUACCUGAAGUGCGUAACCGCGAGGAGCGCCCUAGGGUAAAACUGGUGACUGGGGCUAAGUCGUAACAAGGUA